rnacentral:rRNA from 1 species
CAAGUCGAACGGUCUCUUCGGAAAUCGUGGGGGAGAGGUGAGUAACGCGUAAAAAUCUACCUACUCACUCGGGACACCAGUUGGAAACGACUGCGAAUACCGGAUAUGCCUUCAGGUGAAAGAUUUAUCAUCUGUGAAUGAGCUUGCGUCCCAUUAUCUAUAUGGAGUGGUAAAGGAACACCAUGGCGACAAUCUGUAACUGUGCUGAGAGGAUGACCAGUCACACUGGGACUGAGACACGGCCCACACUCCUACGGGAGGCAGCAGUGGGGAAUUUUCCCCAAUGGGCGAAAGCCUGACGGAGCAAUACCGCGUGAGGGAAAAAGGUCUGUGGAUUGUAAACCUCUUUUGUUACGGAAGAUAAUGACGGUACCUAACGAAUAAACAUCGGCUAACUCCGUGCCAGCAGCCGCGGUAAGACGGAGGAUGCAAGCGUUAUCCGGAAUUAUUGGGCGUAAAGCGUACGUACGCGGUUUUAUAAGUCUGUUGUCAAAGCCCGAGGCUUAACCUUGGAAAGGCAAUGGAAACUGUAAGACUAAAGAGAGAUAGGGGCAGGAGGAAUUCCAUGUGUAUCGGUGAAAUGCGUACAUAUCUGGAAGAACACCAGUGGCGAAAGCGUCCUGCUGGAUCUCAUCUGACGCUGAAUUACGAAAGCUAGGGGAGCGAAUGAGAUUAGAUACCCCCGUAUGCCUAGCCGUAAACGAUGGAUACUAAGUGUUGGCCGUAUCGACCCGGUCAGUGCCGGAGCUAACGCGUUAAGUACCCCGCCUGGGGAGUACGGUCGCAAGAUUGAGACUCACAGGAAUUGACUG